rnacentral:rRNA from 1 species
UACAGAGGUCUCAAGCGUUGUUCGGAUUCAUUGGGCGUAAAGGGUGCGUAGGCGGCGCGGUAAGUCGGGUGUGAAAUCUCGGAGCUUAACUCCGAAACUGCAUUCGAUACUGCCGUGCUUGAGGACUGGAGAGGAGACUGGAAUUUACGGUGUAGCGGUGGAAUGCGUAGAGAUCCGGAAGAACACCGGUGGCGAAGGCGGCCUGCUGGGCAGUUUAGCUGACACUGAGGCGCGACAGCGUGGGGAGCAAACAGG